AUUGGUAUCAUCUGCAAAUAAUUUCGAGAAUAAUGAAGAACAAUGAGUUAUGUCAUUAACAUAUACUAAAAAUAACAAUGGACCCAAACAGCUACCUUGUGGAACUCCAUGAGUCACUGAUUUUAGAAGAGGAAUUACUCUUGCAAUUUUGAGAGAAGAAGGAAAUAUGCCGA